AAGAGAUUACAGCUCUCCCUCUUCACCAUGUAAUGACACAGUGAGGAGACAGGCAGCGGCAAGCCAGAAGGAGAGCUCUUACUAGGAACCAAAUUGCCUGGCACCUUGAUCUUGGACUUCCUAGCCUCCAGAACUGAGAGGUAAGUGUCAAUUGGUUAAGCUAUCCAGUCUAUGGUAUUUUGUUUUAUCAGCCUGAGCAGACUUCACACAGCCCUGAAAGCAAAAGAAGACUGAAGAACUGUCAAAUAUUAGAAAAGACAAAGGAGACAGGACAACUAAAUUCAACAGGGGUUUGGAGAGUCAAUCCUGUCUGAGGAGGAACAGUCAUAUGCAGGCCAAGUGCAAGAUGUUGAAUGAUGUCAUCAAUGAGUUAAUAUUACUGUAUUGAUGCUAUUUUCCUUGUUUACAAAAAUUGUUUUAUGUUUGCCUAAAAUAGGAAACAGCUAAAAAGGAGAGGAGAAUAUACUGGAAUGUACUGUGGAAACUCACAGAACUAAAAGUAUUAGGGAAGUUGAGGAUGGGUUAUGAAAACUCUCUUUAAUGUAUCUAUAAUUUUUCUGUAAAAAAUUAUCUCAAAGUAACAGGCUGAAACAAAGAAUGAAUGGGUAAGACUUCCACAUUUAAAUAGGAAAAAAAUUAAUUUUAAAUGAAAAAACUUCUGCUGGCAUCAUUACCAUUUAACAUUAUUUCAAAAGCUGUAAAUAAUGCAAUUUAGACAGAAAAACGAAGAGGCCUAACUAUUAGCACAAAAAAAACUUACAAAUUUUACAAGUGAUAUAGUCACAUAUUUUGCAUGCUUUAAAAAGUCAACUGAAAACUGCUAAAAUUAUAUGUAUCAUAUAAGCAAUAAUAUACCUAGUUAUAGGAGGAACACACUCAUGUAGGCUCAAGUAGAGCAUGCAACAAAUACAUUAGAGUAGUAUUCUCAUAUAGUUUGUAUUAGGUUGGUGCAAAAGCAAUUGCUGUUUUUGCCAUUACAUUUAAAUUGCAAAAACCUCAAUUACAUUUGCACCAACCUAAUAGAUUGGCACUUUUUGUUGUAACAAGCCAUAAGUGCUGGCAUGUGACCGUGACCCUGGCUUAAUGAAACUAAGGGUUCUGUUCCUAAUAUAUGGCAAACACACACACACACACACACACACACACACACACACACACACACACAGAGAGAGAGAGAGAGAGAGAGAGAGAGAGAGAGAGAACAACAUAAACCAGAUAAGGAUCAGAGCUUGAAAUGAAGCCAGUUCUAUGAAUCCCAAGUCUUUUUAUCUAGGGCUUUAAAGAGAAUAUAAACUUUUCCUCCUCCAAAAUUGCAUAGAUUACACAAUAGGUGCUUGAAUAUGGUAGUCGUAGUGGCAGGGGAUGGAGCCUAUGCCUGGAGUCACAACUACAGGCUCCCAUUUACCAAGAUUAAUCUAACUACUGUUACUGCCAAAUAUCUAACCUGACAUCAAUAGAAAUCAAUGAUAAGUUGCUGAUAUAACAUUAUUAACAAGAGAAACAAACCACAUAGUAGCAAAUUGGUACUAUAUCCUUUCUACUCUACACAAGGUAGUAAUUAAUUCAUUCUGACAAUAACCAACUCUUUUCACUGCAUGUCUUUGCAUUUCCUGUGCAUAGGGCACAUGCACAUGAACUCACAAAAUGUUCGAUCCACCAACACAGCACAAUAUAUUAAAAUACACCACAUCUUAAUAGCACAGAAGUUGCAGAAAUUAAUGCAUGAGAAUGGGAUGUGUUGGUCCUAUCAUAUACCAUAUAUGGAAUCACCCAGAAAUUAGCAGCAUACAGCAAUAAAGCAGUGGAAGAACAGCCUGACGAAGUUGCAGUGCAGGUGCCAGUUUUGAGAUGAUGCCCAUGAAGAUGAGUUGUCAUCUGACAUGAAACCACUCUAAAUUAAUAACCAUUAUACAGUCUGCAAGCUCAUUGUAUAAAAUAUAGCAAGGGUUAGAAACAGAUAUGGCUCCCAUUACCCUCACCCAAUGACCCCCAUGGGGAAUUUUUCCCUCAACU
rnacentral:lncRNA from 10 species